rnacentral:rRNA from 1 species
GCGAUCAUACCAGCACUAC